GGACUACCGGGGUUUCUAAUCCUGUUUGCUCCCCACGCUUUCGUGACUCAGCGUCAGUUUCAGUCCAGUAAGCCGCCUUCGCCACUGGUGUUCUUCCUAAUAUCUACGCAUUUCACCGCUACACUAGGAAUUCCGCUUACCUCUCCUGUACUCUAGCAAGGCAGUUUCUCAUGCACGCCCUCGGUUAAGCCGAGGGGUUCCACAUAUGACUUGCCAUGCCGCCUACUCACCCUUUACGCCCAGUAAUUCCGGAUAACGCUUGCCCCCUACGUAUUACCGCGGCUGCUGGCAC
rnacentral:rRNA from 1 species